rnacentral:lncRNA from 1 species
ACGUCGAACAGACGCUGAACGGACUGCACCUCCCCUGUCCGCCUAAGGCUCAACAAGACAUCAAACAUGUAUAUAGUUUGCACAAGCGGAAACAUAAACAUACAUGGCUUGCAUGAGAGCAAGCAAUAGCCAAAAGUGAAAGAUUCUAAACUAAACAUUCAUACAAAUAGUAUGAUUAACUUUUAAUUACAUACAUGCAUUCAAGCACAACUCACAUUUACAUUCUUUCAUUCUUUUCUUAUACAUCAUAUGUCAACCAAAGUAUAAUCUCUUUUACAUUCAUGCUUGAUUUAUACAAUUUGCAUCAUCAA